ACGGAAGGCAGCAGUGAGGAAUAUUGGUCAAUGGGCGGAAGCCCGAACCAGCCAAGUCGCGUGAAGGAUGAAGGUAUUAUGUAUUGUAAACUUCUUUAGACGUAGAGAAAUAAGGGGGUCGAGACCUCUGAUGCUAGUAUACGUAGAAUAAGGAUCGGCUAACUCCGUGCCGGCAGCCGCGGUAAUACGGAGGAUCCGAGCGUUAUCCGGAUUUAUUGGGUUUAAAGGGUGCGCAGGCGGCUUUUUAAGUCAGUGGUUAAAUCGUGGAGCUUAACUCCAUCCCGCCAUUGAUACUGGAGAGCUUGAUUGCGGUUGAGGUUGGCGGAAUUCGCCGUGUAGCGGUGAAAUGCAUAGAUAUGGCGAAGAACUCCGAUUGCGUAGGCAGCUGACCAAGCCGUAAAUGACGCUCAUGCACGAAAGUGCGGGGAUCGAACAGGAUUAGAUACCCUGGUA
rnacentral:rRNA from 1 species